rnacentral:lncRNA from 1 species
CAGAAGGGCGAGAAAUGAAUGGAGCACCAAGCGAUGGAAAAUAGGAUCUCAACCACAGUUGAGUGAACCAAAGAGGUCCAUUGCCAGUGGGAGAUGUACCAUUCUUCAAUUGAGCUUGAAGGGAGGCCAUGCCUCUAUAAAGGGCAGCCAAAAACAAAGAACAUAAAUUCAAAGGCCUGCCACGCGCCAAUUCGUGCGCUAUAGGUAAAUAACUCAGAGAGGGCUUUAUACUUGGUACGCACAAAACAUAUUUACAAAGCCAAACUAAAAGGAAGGUCACUCGCUCAGUAUGGGUAGGUUCAGCGCUCGAAUGAUUGUGGAGGGUCUGCAGGCUUGAAUAAGAAUCGGUGUAGUUUCUACCAAACUUUAGGGCGCCACCAGAAACUAAGAUACGAGGAAAAAUGGUAUCGCCCAAAGGUGGCAGAUUCACCAGGGCCCCAACAUCCCUUAAAGUAAUAGACAUGGGGCCAAGAGGAAAAAUAAAGGUGUUAUACUCAGAAGACCAAAAACUCAAAGCAAUUGAAAAGAGUGCUGAAUCAAAAGUAGGGGGCGGAUAGAGAUUUCCAACAAAUCAGAAAUUCUAGCGCUAUCAAAAAGUGCCUUAGUAGGACCAUGACCCACAAGGCGAGCAUGCCACCUACGAAAAGCUACAUCAGAUUUAGGCCAAGUGCGAAUACCUCUUUCUCGAAGUGGCCCCAGCGGCAGAGAGUUUAGAAAAGGAGGGCCAUGAGUGCAAGGAAACAGCUGACC